GAAAUUACAAAAAGCACUACAGACUGCAUGCACAUUAUUAAUAUUGCAAUUAAAUGUACAACCAUUAAUUAAAUACUUAAAGAAGUAAAUUACAAUUUCUUAACCACUAUAAAUGAUGGCCCUCGAAACAAGUGUGACAAUCCAAAUAUUGAUCUGUAAAAUAAAAUCAGAAAAAUGAAGUGCAAAGGGCUUGGACCUGUGGUUGCAAUUAUGGUGAUAGCCUUCCUAAUUAGUGCAGUUGCAAAUGCAGAUCAAUGUGAAGAUUGUCUUAAAGGCUGCAUCGACAAACUCAUCAUGUCUCUCUGCAAGUUAAAAUGCAGAAAAGUUUGUUCAUGAAGUCGCGGCCGCCGUCGCAGCAGCUGCUCCGCCACCGGGGGGCUAUUCAUCUAUAUUCUGUAACUACGUAAUUUUUAUUUUAAUAUUUGAGGGAAUAUUCCCUUGAUUUGGAGUGCAUUGCAUGAGAAGUGAC
rnacentral:lncRNA from 1 species